rnacentral:rRNA from 1 species
GAUGAACGCUGGCGGCGUGCCUAAUACAUGCAAGUAGAACGCUGAAGCUUGGUGCUUGCACCGAGCGGAUGAGUUGCGAACGGGUGAGUAACGCGUAGGUAACCUGCCUCUUAGCGGGGGAUAACUAUUGGAAACGAUAGCUAAUACCGCAUAAAAGUCGACAUCGCAUGAUGUUGACUUGAAAGGUGCAAUUGCAUCACUAAGAGAUGGACCUGCGUUGUAUUAGCUAGUUGGUGAGGUAACGGCUCACCAAGGCGACGAUACAUAGCCGACCUGAGAGGGUGAUCGGCCACACUGGGACUGAGACACGGCCCAGACUCCUACGGGAGGUAGCAGUAGGGAAUCUUCGGCAAUGGGGGCAACCCUGACCGAGCAACGCCGCGUGAGUGAAGAAGGUUUUCGGAUCGUAAAGCUCUGUUGUAAGAGAAGAACGAGUGUGAGAGUGGAAAGUUCACACUGUGACGGUAACUUACCAGAAAGGGACGGCUAACUACGUG